UACGAAGGUGGCAAGCGUUACUCGGAAUUACUAGGCGUAAAGGGCAGGUAGGUGGUUUGGUCAGUCUGUUGUUAAAACUUUCGGCUUAACCGGAAGAGGUCAAUAGAUACUGCCAGACUUGAGUAUGGGAGAGGAUACUGGAAUUCCCGGUGUAGCGGUGAAAUGCGCAGAGUUCGGGAGGAACACCAAUGGCGAAAGCAGGUAUCUGGACCAUUACUGACACUCAGCUGCGAAAGCUAGGGGAG
rnacentral:rRNA from 1 species